rnacentral:rRNA from 1 species
CAAUAGCGUAUAUUAAAGUUGUUGCAGUUAAAAAGCUCGUAGUUGGAUUUCGGGUGGGACGCAGCGGUCUCGCAUUGCGUUUGUACUGCUGCAGCCCUCCUUCUUGCCGGGGGCGGCCUCGCGGACUUCACUGUCUGGGGGUCAGAAUCGGCGAUGUUACUUUGAGUAAAUUAGAGUGUUCAAAGCAAGCUUACGCUCUGAAUAUAAUAGCAUGGGAUAACACGACAGGACUCUGGCCUAUCGUGUUGGUCUAUAGGACCAGAGUAAUGAUUAAGAGGGACAGUCGGGGGCAUUCGUAUUCCGUUGUCAGAGGUGAAAUUCUUGGAUUUAUGAAAGACGAACUUCUGCGAAAGCAUUUGUCAAGGAUGUUUUCAUUAA